UGGGGAAUAUUGCACAAUGGGCGGAAGCCUGAUGCAGCGACGCCGCGUGAGGGAUGACGGCCUUCGGGUUGUAAACCUCUUUCGACAGGGACGAAGCGCAAGUGACGGUACCUGUAGAAGAAGCGCCGGCCAACUACGUGCCAGCAGCCGCGGUAAGACGUAGGGCGCGAGCGUUGUCCGGAUUUAUUGGGCGUAAAGAGCUCGUAGGCGGCUUGUUGCGUCGGCUGUGAAAACCCGCAGCUUAACUGUGGGCUUGCAGCCGAUACGGGCAGGCUUGAGUUCGGUAGGGGAGACUGGAAUUCCUGGUGUAGCGGUGAAAUGCGCAGAUAUCAGGAGGAACACCGGUGGCGAAGGCGGGUCUCUGGGCCGAUACUGACGCUGAGGAGCGAAAGCGUGGGGAUCGAACAGGAUUAGAUACC
rnacentral:rRNA from 1 species